rnacentral:rRNA from 1 species
GUCUUUUUGAGUUUAAUUUAAAGUCUAAUCUGCCCACUGAUAAUUAUUUAAGGGCCGCAGUAUUCUGACUGUGCAAAGGUAGCAUAAUCAUUAGUCUUUUAAUUGAGGGCUUGUAUGAAUGAUUGGACGAGAUAUAAGCUGUCUCAUAAAAAUUUAAGUAGAAUUUUAUUUUUUAGUUAAAAAGCUAAAAUGAUUUUAAAAGACGAGAAGACCCUAUAGAUCUUUAUAAUUUAUUUUUAAAUUUUUUUUGGUUAUUUUUUAGAUUUAUGAAUUAAAUUAUUUUGUUGGGGUGACAAUGAAAUUUAAUAAACUUUCAUUAUUUUUAAACAUUGAUUUAUGAAUAGUUGAUCCACUAUUAGUGAUUAAAAAUUUAAGUUACCUUAGGGAUAACAGCGUAAUUAUUUUGGAGAGUUCUUAUCGAUAAAAUAGUUUGCGACCUCGAUGUUGGAUUAAGAUUAAUUUUGGGUGUAGCAGCUCAGUUUAUUAAGUCUGUUCGACUUUUAAUUUCUU